UACAGAGGUCUCAACCGUUGUUCGGAUUCAUUGGGCGUAAAGGGUGCGUAGGCGGUCGGGUAAGUCGGAUGUGAAAUCCCAGGGCUCAACCCUGGAACUGCAUUCGAUACUGCCUGGCUAGGGUACUGGAGAGGAGACUGGAAUUUACGGUGUAGCAGUGAAAUGCGUAGAUAUCAGGAGGAACACCGGUGGCGAAGGCGGCUUUCUGGACAGAAACUGACGCUGAGGCGCGAAAGCUAGGGGAGCAAACAGG
rnacentral:rRNA from 1 species